ACUACUACUACUACUACUACUACUACUACUCCAACAACUACUUUAUCAACAACGACACUGUCACCUUGCAAGUACAUGGGAUGUUAUCUGGAUGACAGUAACAGAAUGAUAAAAGACAUUUGGGUGCAAAGUGAAGUUAUGACUUUGGAAUGGUGCAUGGCGAAAUGCAGAGAAGGCAACCAUAAGUUUGCUGGUCUUGAGUUCUACAAGCACUGUUUCUGUGGCGAUUCCUACGAUGAGUCGCGGUACCCACAGAAGGCCGAGUCUGGGUGCGACACGCCGUGUAAAGGGAAUACACAACAGAUGUGCGGUGGAGGGUGGAGACUCUCAAUGUUUUUAUGUCGUUGACAUGUUCAUUUAUAUCAUAAUUACGUUAUACUAAGGACUACACGUUGUAGAAAAGUACAAAAUCACAGUGCACACGGAUCUGGACUACCACUUGUUGGAUUGACCUUUGUAUGGAAGUCUUGAUGGCUAGGUGGGUUAGAUCGCUGAAGUGUGCUGCGGUAUAUGUGUCUCACUCAGAGUGUGUGGGGUCGAAUCCGGAGCUAGACCACAAGAAGUAUUGAAUUUGUACUUAUUUCUUGGGAUUAUCCCAAGAGUAACAUUUCACUAUUUUCUAAAAGCACUAUCAUGUAUUAAUAUCAAUUCAUGCCACCACCACCACCCCACCACCCCAACAC